UUAUAGCCCUUAAUUUCGUAUUUAAAUUUUAAUUUUUUUCACCUGUUUAUUGAAUCUUGCCGUAAGGCCGGAUUGGUACAGAAUAAGAGAGGGAGAGAAGGUCAUAUAUAUAUAUAUAGGAGUUGUGUUAUUUGUAAUGUAUAUUUUUAUUUUUGGUCCAAAUAUCAGGUGUCAAAUGUAGCAUUUUUAUGCAAUAUGAUCAAAUCUUGACGCAGUUGCAAUAUAAAGCUAUGAAGCAAGAUUUUGGUUACUCACCUU
rnacentral:lncRNA from 1 species